AGGAGCCGUAUGACGAAAGAGUGUCACGUAUGGUUCUGUAAGAGGCUUGGGGUGAAAGUCCCCUUGCCUACUUGAC
rnacentral:ncRNA from 1 species